AACUUGGGCUGGGGCCAAGGGGACGUGGCGUAAUUAAGCGAGAUGACGUACCCGGCGUGAAAGGCGUGGCGAGACGUAAUGGGACGUAGCCAAAAUGGCCGCGCGCAUGAGUUUCUCCCCGGUACAGAGUGGAAGGGUCCGCGUUCUGGGAAACGUUCGGAUCUGGAGGGAAAGAACCCGCAAAACAUGAGCGUUUUGGUGGCUCUGAUUCUUUGUGGUUAUCAGGUUCUUGCAAGUCAUCCGGGGCCCGGUCCGGAUUCCAGGCUAAACAUGGUGGUGAUGAGUAGCCUGAGGGUCGUUCUUCAAGCCUCUCCAUGCAAGUUACUGUGGAGAAGAUUCCAGACCCCCAGGUUCGUGCCAGCGAGGCCCUGCAGCCUCUACACCUGCACAUACAAAAGCCGGAACCGAGCCCUGCACCCGCUGUGGGAGACCGUGGACCUGGUCCCGGGGGGCGAGCGCCAGUCGCCCAUCAACAUCCGCUGGAGGGACAGCGUCUAUGAUCCUGGCUUAAAACCGCUCACCAUCUCUUACGACCCGACCACCUGCCUCCACGUCUGGAAUAACGGGUACUCUUUCCUGGUGGAAUUUGAAGAUUCUACAGAUAAGUCAGAGGAAGUGAAGCUCCCUGAAGUUCACUGCUUUUGCCAGGUCACACAGCUGACUGCUGGAGAACUGAUGGAAAAUCAGCAGACCACACUCUGUGCAAGGCCUCUGAGCUCCUGGAGACUUCAGCAGGUGCUGGCCUCCUGCAAGGUCUGGAGGUAGAGUGUUUCCUGGGCGCCCCAGAUUUGUUUUCAUCAGCUGCACGUCAUGAAGAGCUACAGAAAUUCGUGGAUACUGUGCCAUCAGUUAAGCAUAAGGACACCCUUGUGGAAUUUGGGUCAUUUGAUCCUUCCUGCCUGAUGCCUGCCUGCCCAGAUUACUGGACCUACUCGGGGUCCCUGACUACCCCCCCACUCUCCGAGUCCGUCACCUGGAUCAUUAAGAAGCAGCCCGUAGAGGUUGAUCACGAUCAGGUACGUUCUUUCCACAUUUCUUUCUGAGGACCCGCUAGCCUGCCCCUUUGAAGCAAGGCUGGGCUCCAACUUUGGCAUCAGUUGUUAAGAUCUCGUAAUGCCAAUACAUGUUUAUUGAGAUGUGCUAACAUAUUUUCUCAAUUUGGCCAUCAAUUUGGAGAUAGUUCAAAUUAACCAGAGACAGGCGUUAAGACCUAGAAGAACAUAAGCUUUUUGCUUUCAUUUUUGACAGUAAUGUGUAUUUUGCUAUAUAUGCGUGGUGUAGAAUUGCUAUAAAAAUUAAGAUCUUUAAAUGGAAAAAAAGGCUGGAAAUGGAUGUGUUCGAACCAGUUUGAUAUUUAUUUAUUAUUGAAGUACUGUUGAUACGUAGUGUUACAUUAGUUGCAUGUGUACAACAUGGCGAUUUGACAACCCGGUAUGUUAUGCUGUGCUUACAAGCGUAGUAGUUCCCGUCUGUCACUUGACCAUACAAGUCUGGUACAAACCCACUGACAGUUUUCCCUGUGCUUUUUCCCUGUCAUCCCCAUGACUUAUUAAUUUCCGUACUGGAAGCCUUGUACCUCCUACUCCCCUUCACCCAUCUUCUCCUUCUAAUCCCCCCUCCACAGUAUUCCCCUUUCCUCUGCCAACUGUCAUACAGAGUUUGUUCUCUGUAUUUGUGUAAAAAGCCUUAAUUUUCUUAAGAGAUACUUACUGUGGAAUUUCGAGGUAAGGACAGAGCCCAACAAUGUCUACACAGAAAUUUUAUUCUAAGUCAGAAGUUUUGACUUUGAAGUUUUGGUAUUUGCUUUGCAUUUAGAAAUGAAAGGUUAAGUAGUGGUUACUAUGUCAACACACAGAACGUUUAAUUCAUAAAUGAACUAAACUGUAAUAAUAAUUGCUUUCACUUGUUUGUUUUGAAAUUUUAUUGAUUAAAAUUUUUUUCCAAAGACAAAA